UACAGAGGUCCCGAGCGUUGUUCGGAUUUAUUGGGCGUAAAGGGUGCGUAGGCGGCGGAGCAAGUUGGGUGUGAAAUCCCGGGGCUUAACCUCGGAAUGGCAUUCAAUACUGCUUCGCUUGAGUACUGGAGAGGAGGCUGGAAUUUACGGUGUAGCAGUGAAAUGCGUAGAUAUCGUAAGGAAGGCCGGUGGCGAAAGCGAGCCUCUGGACAGUUACUGACGCUGAUGCACGAAGGCCAGGGGAGCAAACGGG
rnacentral:rRNA from 1 species